UGCCCGGAACAGAUCAGGUGUAAUGGCGCGUAUUUCUCUUUGCAGCUUUCUAUCUGUACAAAAUUUAAGUGAGUUUUCUAACGCUGUAGGGGGUAUGGUUGAAACAUUGAUGGCUUCUCCUUGGGUCGUGUGAGGUUUCAUUGAUGCUCUGAUACAAUUAUAGUCGAAAUGACAGCUGUGAUUUCACAUUACGUACCGUUUGACACAGUUAAAUUGACUUAAUUGAUUGAAAUAAAUGUGCUGGUAUUGUUUGUAUGUUUAAAAUGCAUUUUGUGAAUUUCGUUAGACAACGAACAGGACGUCUUGUUUAUUUCAGAUACUAAAGCAGGGAUAGCAGGUACCUGAGCCAUACCGGAAGCCCCGUCCGUUUUGCGCGCGUGUGAAAGGGUACGUCACUUCCUUUGCGCGAACUUUUAGGACUCUCUGGGACAUGCUGUAAUAUUUGAGCGUAAACAACCCGAGUGAAAAUAUGGGUUCGGUUGUAUACCAACGGCUACAGAGAUUUCUCCUAAACGAUGAAAACGAUGAUGACAUUUCUCCAAUUUCAUCAUCAAAGGUCUCAGAAUCACCUUACAAAGCCGGUCCACAGUGACAUCAGCAUCCUCUGAUUGGUUGAUCAGAGCAAAAGUGGGAGCAAUCUGGAGAGGAGGAUGAAUUUAAUCGACAAAUAAUCAGUAAUCUCUGGUGAGUAUAUUGAUCUUUUGUCAUGUUAUUACAUAAAUAUUGAUUGUGAACGGCUUCAGAAGUUCCAGAAAUCCCAAUAAUCCUGCAGGGUUAAGUGGGUUUCAUGUUUCAAUAAUGUUGUAUUGUGUUUUGUUUGUUAUGGAUGGUUGUGUAAAGGUGAAGCGAUAAUGGUGGUAUUAAGUGGGCUAAAUCCCCUCUAAAGGCACCAAAUGCACCACCCAUCACUUUGUGUGCUUAAUGUGUACAUGUCAAAGUCCACAAUUACAGUUGAAGAAUCCCGAGUGGGACCCCAGAUGAUCGUUAUUUCCAUACACUAGUUUCAGAGUUUAAUAACAUACAGAACUGCACUUCAUCAUCAGUUUUGUUCCCUCAUAUUUUGCCUCAAUUGUAGCUAAAGUUUGUAUGUUUGUCUCUUGAACAGAACACUAGUCGCUUGCUGUAUUCUUGUCAUAUAUGCAAAGGUUAUUUUAAUUGCAAAGUAAUUCCAUAUACAGUAAAAGUAAACUUUUUCCACAGCAUGAUAAACAAUUGUGAAGGAACAGAUGACCAGAUUCUCAAAUUUGAUUGCACAAACAUUUUACAUUUUAUAAAAUUAUGGAAAUAUGUAAUUGUUGCUGUAUGGGACACAGUGGUAAUUGCCAACAUAUACUAAAACUGACUCUAGUUACCUCCAGCAUCUUACUUUGGGUGUUUAAAAUGUUUCUGCAGGCUGUAAAAAGGACACGUGCAUCUUUUGAGUCUUGUGUGGGUUCUUGCUUAGGUACAGAGAAAAAUAUCGCUAUCGUAUGCAAUUCUUUAAUUUAAGGUUCAGGUCGAUGAAAGGGCUUUUUACCGCCAGUCUUACUGAGCAGUUUUAUGUCAGUAAUGGUGAUGUCAUGGCUCACAGCCUUACACAUGUCGUAAACAGUCAGAGCUGCUACAGAAACAGCAGUUAAAGCCUCCAUCUCAACUCCUGUCCUGCUGGUGGUGCGACACGUUGCCGUGAUGACCACAGCGUUCCACAGCUCAUCCAGGUCCAGGAUGACCGAGGUGUGCUCUAAAGGGAGCGGGUGGCAGAGCGGAAUGAGAGUUGAGGUCUGUUUAGAGCCCAUGAUGCCGGCUAACUGGGCCACCGCCAUAGCGUCACCCUUACCCAGCUGGUUGUCCUGCAGUAGUCCAAACGCAACGGGGCCCAAAAGGACGGUGGCAUGGGCCGUGGCUACGCGACGUGUGGGGACUUUAUCGCCAACAUCUACCAUGUUUGCUCGGCCUUGUGCAUCUGUGUGCGUCAGCUGAGCUUCUGGGGUACCAUCCAGGUUUGGGCUGCUUGCAUCACUUGGAGAUUGGGAGAUUUUGAGAUUGGGAUCUUGGCUGGAUGUAUCGUGAUGAUAUUGUCUCACACCGUGUUGUGUACAGUUUACGUUGGCCUUCAUUUGUAAUUGUCUCCUCAAAAUGUGGAAGCACCUAAUACUAUGAUUAGUUUGAGUGGUCACAAUGCUUGUGUCAUUAACAAGGGAGGUUUGAUCACCACCAAAUUCAUACAAGCGUCCUCCUGCAUUGAUAAAGUGCUCAGCCUUGUUUGGGUUUUCAUUAAGAUAGGAGCCUCUAUGCAUUAAGUUUCUAGAGCAGCAGCUAUGUGCUGCCUGUGCUGAAGCCGUGUAGUCUAGAAGGCACAAAAGGUUCAGGAAUGCCUUUCUAUCUGUAGGAGGAGGAGAGAACAAUGUUGUCUUAGCACGCCGUGUGACAAUGGAAAUACAUCUGGAUCAUGUUUCAUGUCAAGUAGUGAUAUUUUCUCUCCGAGAACUGUCUCUUUUAUUUUGCUGAUAACAGAUCUUAUUGACCUAAGUCAAAAAUCAUUUCUACAUAAGGGAUAAUAAGGCUUAAACAGGCACUAGUCAACUUUGUUAAAGGCCUCAAAAGCUGCAGCGAGGUGAAAAUAAGUUCAUGUAUGUUCGCUGUGGCGACUCCGUAAUCAGGAAAAACCCGAAAGAAACAAAUAAAAUGAUCGUUAGUCGAACUGGAAUGACAACAGCAUGUGGUUGUCACGGAAGCCUGACCACCAGGUUAAAAUCUAGAUAGACCGCGACUCCGAUUCCAUCAGUUCUGUCAAUUAUCCCUGAUUAUCAUUCAUUAGCGGUGAGUACCUAUUGAGCAUGAGCAAGUUACCACUACCUGUAUCUGUAUCUGUUUAUCCAUCUAAAUGCUCUGUAGCCGUAUCUGUACGGGUGGGGCAUAACACGGAAGUGGGCAUAGUUUAACCGAAAAGGGGCGGGGCUUCAAUCAGUACAUUAUUUUAAGUUGAAAUUGACAUUGAUUGAUCAGAAGUUGCUACAUCUAUUGUUUGCAACUCUACAACUCGCUCAAUUACUUUAUGCUUUUUUUGUCUUAUUUGUCCAGUUUUAUUUUAGAUUUGUUUUCUAUAAUGUGCCGUUAAGAGGCCCAUAAAAAAAAAAUAUAUAAAUAUAUAUACUUUGGACAUCCCUUAUCGCCAUACUCGUUUCAUGCUCAUACUCUGCAAAAAUGCAUUGUCUGUAACUUAACUGCAUACAUUUUCCAAGCUAUUAAUGAUAGAUCAAGGUCAUGACAGACCCGUGUGAGAGAUUGUACGUACAGCCACAGCGUCACCCACCGAUGAGGAUCAUAGGUCUAUUCUUCAUUUGGGAGAUGUUGAACAUGCCUGAAAAAGGAGGGGGGUCAGGGGCGAGUCUGGGUAAAUACCACAACCACUAAAAACAGCAGUAAUGUGAAUUAACUUAAAACACACACACAAGCUUACCUGCAUGUUGUUUCUUCUUCCUGCCCACCGCAGCUCCAAUAAUUUGCAGCAGCUCUUCAUCAGACGCUCCGGAGCGUAACACAUCUCGAAGGGACAUCUCAGAGUUGCCAAACAAACACACCUGAAGACAGGUGGGAAGAGUGUUGUACAGUAUGGCAGACACAACAAAAAAACACACAUUCACACACGCGGUUUUACCUUGAGGUUGCCGUCUGCAGUGAUGCGUAAGCGGUUACAGGAGCCACAGAAAUGAUCAGACAUGGAGGUGAUGAAGCCCACCUGACCUUUGAAUCCGGGCACUUUGAACGUCUGUUCGAAGAUUCCGAUUUUCAUUUAUUGUGAUUAAUUUAUUGUCCCAGGCUGAUUGCCCAUGAGACUUUUUUAAGAAUGAGAAAUCCUGCCAUGUUCUAAUCUAAUAAUAAAUAAAUCACAUGUUGGAGGGGUUCGAAGUAACAAAAAACGAAAUAACCUUGGCUGUGUCUGUGUGUCCAGCCUGGAGCUUUUCUAGGGCGGGCCACUGCUGCCUGAUGUGAUCCAACAUUUCCUGGUAGCUCACCAUCUUCUUGAAGUUCCAUUUGUUACCUGCAAAGAAAGACAGGGAGAAACAACUCAGUGGCCAAGCGUCAUGUUUACAGCUCCUUACCAACAAUAUCCAGCACAUCAGGUCUGAUAAGCGGUUCUCCUCCAGUGAGGCGGAUCUUCUCUACGCCCUCCUUGACAAAGAGGCGUGCUAGGGUCAGUACCUCUGAAGUGGACAGUAGUUGGCCUCGUGGUGUCAGCUUCACACCCUCCUCUGGCAUACAAUACUGGCCUGAGAUUGAGAAGGGAGAAUGAGUUUACCAUUAUUGAACACUUUUUACAUACAGCAAACUAACUCCAAACAAACAUUAUACUGUAUAUCAAUUCAAACUGUAAAUUUUGGCACUUAAAGAUUUAUAUAACACAUUACUUAAGCAGGUUGGAAAGUCUGUACAACAUACAUCUUCAAUUCAAGAGCUUCAACUCCAAGAACUGGGUAUGACUUUGCAUUUAUAUCAAUUGUUUUGAAAAAAAAAAAACAAAAACCUACUGUAACUACAACAUAUUUUUAUGUUUCAGGUUUUUAGCUGUAGUUUCUCAUUGGUAACAUAACAUACUUUGACAGCACUCGCUGAUUGAACAAUACGGUUGUAUGUACUUUCCAAAUGCUGGCAUUGGUAAGUGGACUUACAGCGUAGGUUGCACUUCUCAGUCAGGGAGAUGCGCAAGUAAUUGUGUUUCCGGCCAAAGUUGUCCGUUAAGAAUGAAGAAAAGGCAACAUUGUGGUCUUUCAUCCUCUCCUGGAAAGCAAAAUGACAAUGCAAAGGUCAUUUAUUAGGAUCGUGUACAUUUUUAAUUACUUUUCACUGAAUUAAAUUAGCUUCCACUGUUGCUGUGUCUAGCAGGCUGAUUUGGUAACCCUGAAUGACUUUUAGUCAUUCAUUAAACAAACAAUACCAGCCUUUUCUAAUAAAACAUACACUGGUAGCUGAACCGAAACAAGAAAAACGUGUUCUCUCCAGCUGGCUUAUUUAAAAUGCUGUAUUAAAAUAGUAUUGUGAAACUAAAGCCCAUUGCAGCACUGUGACCUUUGACUGCUGGUAAUGUGCUACUGUUAAGUCACGCUUUCAGUACAAAGGCCAGCACAAGACUGGGUAUUUGGUCACACACUAUAAACUUAAUCACAAUACUUCUAUUUUUAUGGCGGAGAUAUUCAGCUUGUUAAAAACACAGAUAAAUCUGCUAUACUGUACAACACAUUCCACUUAACUGUGUUUUGUGUAGCAUUGGAAUUGCACUCAUCCCCUGGUUGUGGGGCACAUUAUGGUGUACUACAUCAGUGCAGUCAUCAGUUUUACAGUUAGUUGAAAAGACACAAGUAAAUGCUGAAAUGCACGUCAUUAUUGACAUAUGACUAAGUUCUCCGUAGUGAGUUACCUGUCUUGUCCUGGUUUUGACGGAUGUACUUAAAUCUGGUGGAGCCAAAGUAGGAUUCCCAAGUUCAAGUUCAUUUUUCGCAUGCGUUGCACUUGAGUAAAGUCGCGCAAUAUUUACAUUAAUGCGGUCAGGCCAAAAUGUUCCGAAACGUGUCACACUCCAGUGUGUGUACAACAAGCAGCAUCUGAUGUUAGAAGCCAUGGUGGUGGUGGUACGGUGCUAAGGCAGUAAACAUUGUGUUGACACAACUCAAGUGUGUGUUUCGGUGAGAUAAACCGCAUCAGUUCACUGGGACGGAAAAGGAAAAGGCGUUGUUUCAUCAGCCAAUGGUGGCUGCUGACGUCACACGGAAUGCACGCUGGGAAGUGGAGUCUGUUUGUUGCAAACUACCGGGAUCCUACUUUAUUGUAUGCAGGUGUGCUUUUCUUUUUUCCAGCGAGGGCCACAUACUGAAAAAUGAACGCAAUGGACACUUAUCUUACUUUAAUUUAAUUUUUAUUUUUAUAAUAAUUUUGUAAAGAAA